UGGGUAACCUGCCUCAAAGAGGGGAAUAGCCUCCCCGGAAAAGGGGAGAUUAAUACCGCAUAAUAUGUUUAGGUCGCAUGACUUUAACAUCAAAGGAUUUCUUUUAGAAAUUCCACUUUGAGAUGGACCCCGCGGCGCAUUAGCUAAUUGGUGAGGUAACGGCUCACCAAGGCAG
rnacentral:rRNA from 1 species